CGCAACCCUUGCCUUUAGUUGCCAGCAGUUCGGGCUGGGCACUCUAAAGGGAACUGCCGGUGUUAAACCGGAGGAAGGUGGGGAGUGACGUCAAGUCCUCAUGGCCUUUAUGACCAGGGCUACACACGUACUACAAUGGCCGAUACAAAGGGCAGCGACACGUGCGAGGUGAAGCCAAUCCCGUAAAAUCGGUCUCAGUCCGGAUUGGAGUCUGCAACUCGACUCCAUGAAGUUGGAAUCGCUAGUAAUCGUGGAUCAGCAUGCCACGGUGAAUACGUUCCCGGGCCUU
rnacentral:rRNA from 1 species